AAUAAGUCUCCCAUGUCUGUCUUACAGUUUCUCUUUCUCUCAAAAUUUAAAAUCCCCUAAAAUGUGGCAAAGAAGAUGUUGAGACAAAACCAUUCAAUGUAUAUUCAAAUCUCAAAAAUUUCCCAUUCCUUCUAACCCCUGAUCCCAAAUUCUUUGGUUGUUUGUCUUCCCCGUAAUCGAAACCCUAACCCCAAUUCUUUCAAAAAUUCCUCUUUUGUAGAGCAAGAUUUAGGGUUCUUCAAACAUCAAAGGUUUCUUUUUCAGGAAAUUUCCUUAAGUCUCCCACUCUCCACCAACCUUUACAAUUUAAACUCCGCUUCACAAAUUCGAUGGCGUUAAUAAAGAGGUUCAUGGAGGACAAUCAGAGCUUGUGGCAGAUAUUAAGGAGGCAUUGAUGGAUUUUCUAAAUGAAGCUUAUGAUAGGGCAAAGGAGGCUUAGAUUUGGGUUGAUAAAUUGGAAGAGAAGUUGGGGGAAAUUAACCAAAAAAUGAAGGUUUCAAGCGCCAUUAUGAGAACAAAGGGGAUUGAUAAUUUGGGAAGUUGUAAGCCAAAGGACUAAGUCAAUUGGGUGGGAACAUGUGGCUCCCAUGUUGAUAGUUGUUACAUUCUUACAAUAUCAAAAUGCACUUUCAAAGGACUUACAGGGUAUCAAAUAUUCCUAUCCACAUGCCAACAAACUAUUUUAGGAUUCUACUUAAAUACUUUGUGUAAGAAAAUUUGGAACUAAUGUGUAGACAUUAUACAAAGAAUUGUAAUUUUACUUCAUAAUUGUUUUGAUGAUCAAUAUUUGCUGUAAAUUUUGUAAAAUUUGCAUGAUUUAUACUUUAUAGCUUGCUGUAAAAUUUGCAAAAUUUGCACCUUUUUGUUGCA
rnacentral:sRNA from 1 species